AAAUGAAUAGACGGGGGCCCGCACAAGCGGUGGAGUAUGUGGUUUAAUUCGAAGCAACGCGAAGAACCUUACCAGGCCUUGACAUCCCCUGCAAAGACAUGGAGACAUGUUGGAGGGUAUCAGGGAGACAGGUGGUGCAUGGUUGUCGUCAGCUCGUGUCGUGAGAUGUUGGGUUAAGUCCCGCAACGAGCGCAACCCCUGUGAUAUGUUACCAGUAUCAAGUUAGGGACUCAUAUCAGACUGCCGGUGACAAACCGGAGGAAGGUGGGGAUGACGUCAAAUCAUCAUGCCCCUUAUGGCCUGGGCUACACACGUACUACAAUGGCAUCUACAAAGAGCAGCGGCACUGUGAAGUGGAGCGAAUCUCAUAAAGGAUGUCUCAGUUCGGAUUGAAGUCUGCAACCCGACUUCAUGAAGUUGGAAUCGCUAGUAAUCGCGGAUCAGCAUGCCGCGGUGAAUACGUUCUCGGGCCUUGUACACACCGCCCGU
rnacentral:rRNA from 1 species